rnacentral:rRNA from 1 species
GACGAACCGUGCGAACGUUAUUCGGAAUCACUGGGCUUAAAGCGCGUGUAGGCGGCCCGGCACGUCCGUCGCUGAAAUCCCCCGGCUCAACCGGGGAAGUGGCGUGGAUACGACCGGGCUGGAGGGGGGGUAGGGGGAGCCGGAACUUCCGGUGGAGCGGUGAAAUGCGUUGAGAUCGGAAGGAACGCCCGUGGCGAAAGCGGGCUCCUGGACCCCACCUGACGCUGAGACGCGAAAGCCAGGGGAGCGAACGGG